rnacentral:tRNA from 1 species
AGGCCAGGAAAGCCAUUCGCAAUGAGAAGGUCAGGGGUUCGAAUCCCCUCACCUCCACCA